rnacentral:lncRNA from 1 species
CAUGUAAAAAAAAUAACAUGAUAAAAAUAUUUUCUAAGAAAAAUGUGACUGAAAUUGUCAAAUUUAAUUAUGUUGUGAUUAUCUUUCUUUCCCUACUUUUGGUUACAACGAAUGUUAACGGUAAUAGUUGAUUUUAUCAUUUUUUAAGUUUUCUUAUUUACUUCGUACACAAUAUUUUAUCUCCUUAUAGUAACAUUAUUUUAUUCUCUUAUUUUAUUAUAGCGGGGUUUAAAUGCUUGCAAAAUUCCGAUUGUCCACAAAAUUGGUGCCCGCUUCCUUUUAAGCCGAGGUGUAGUUACAGUUGGUGUAUAUGUGUUAAAAAAAAAGAAUGAUAUCUUAUGAUUGGUAAGAUUUUUAUGUGACCCGGGUGUGGUUGGUAACACAAAUAAGCUAGCUUAUAGCUUAUUAUAUGAGUUUAUAAGCUUGUUUCAAAAAAUUAGAGGUGUUUGGUAACAAACUUUUUAAACUAGCUUAUAGCUUUUUUUCAGAUGCUAUUUCAAGUAGCGUUUGAGCUUAUAGCUUAUAGCUUUUUACACUAUAUUCCAUUUUUACCCUUCAAUUUAAUAACUACCCACUCUAAAAAAAAACUACCAACUAUCAAUUAUGUAAUUUUAUAUUUAAUAAUCACUUUAAAAGCUAAUUUUACCAAACACUUUAAUUUCAAUAAGCUAGCUUUUCAGCUAUCAGCUAUAAGCUAGCUUUUCAGCUAUCAGCUAGCUUAUAGCUUAUUUUUACCAAACAGACCCUAAGUAAGUGUAUUGAAGUGACGAAGGGUGUGUUUGGUAACAUAAAUAAGCUAGCUUAUAGCUUAUUAUAUGAGCUUAUAAGCUUGUUUCAAAAAAUUAGAGGUGUUUGGUAACAAGCUUUUUGUACUACCUUAUAGCUUUUUUUCAGAUGCUAUUUCAAGUAUCAUUUGAGCUUAUAGCUUUUUACACUUUAUUUCAUUUUUACCCUUCAAUUUAAUAACUAUCCACUCUAAAAAAAACCUACCCACUAUCAAUGAUGUAAUUUUAUAUUUAAUAACCACUUUAAAAGCUAAUUUUACCAAACACUUUAAUUUCAAUAAUCUAACUUUUCAGCUAUCAUCUAUAAGCUAGCUUUUCAGCUAUCAGCUAGCUUAUAGCUUAUUUUAACCAAAGAGACACAAACACAACACAUUGAUGUAAAAACAAUUAAUAACAAUUCUUAUUUUAGGAUAUUCUUUUCCAACUUCAUAAGUGCUAAACACUAUUUAAUUUAUUAUAUGUAAGAAGAGAAUAGGAUUUAUAAAUCAUAAAGUCAUAAAAUCAUAUUCUACUUGAUACAUGGAAAUGGGGAAAAAUAAGACUAAAAUCGUCAAGUUCGUUCAUGUCAUGAUUAUCUUGAAUUACAUAAUUCUCUUCGCAAUGAUUAUUGAUGGUAAACCUUUUCUUUAUCAUUCUCAAAUUUCUUUAUUUACGUCAUAUACAAUAUUUUUAUCUCAUCAUAGUUACAUUCUUUUAUUCCCUUUUUNNNNNNNNNNNNNNNNNNNNNNNNNNNNNUCUCUUCAUUACAGCGGGUAACAGAUGUUUUCAAGAUUCUGAUUGUCCACAAAAUAUGUGCUCUCCUCCUUUUAAACCGGGGUGUUUUUAUGGGUGGUGUGUACCAGAGUUAAUCUUAGAAUGAUGCUAUAGAUUCUAGAUGUUUUCUCUUUGGGUCCCCGAUGUAUCU